rnacentral:misc_RNA from 1 species
UUAUUGUUUUUUUUUUUUUUUAAUUGAACUUUGACUGGUUUAAAUUAAUGAAAUUUCUGGUUCCUAAUUCUUCUCUUAAUGCCAGCUUAAGAUGCCUUAAAUUUUGUGGGUUUCAACUAAUUUUGUUUUUCAAGCUCUUUUUUGUGAGAGAGGUCUUCGCGUUUUUUGCAACUAGCUGAUUCUAAUUAAAUUUUCUAAUGUGAUGGCUGGAUGGAAGUUGAGAUUGGCUAAGAACCGAUUAUGCCUGAUGAGGAGUUUGUUUCCCUUGUUGCUUUCACAUUGUAAGCUAAUUGGGUCUCAUAUGCUUAUUAUAGGUAAUUAUACAAUUGAGCUUCAAUCAUUU